rnacentral:rRNA from 1 species
UACGUAGGGUGCAAGCGUUGCCCGGAUUUAUUGGGCGUAAAGGGCGCGUAGGCGGCUCUGCACGUUCGUUGUGAAAUCGCCCGGCUCAACUGGGCGGGGUCAGCGGAUACGGCAGAGCUUGAGCAAGCUAGGGGGCAAUGGAAUUCCCGGUGUAGCGGUGAAAUGCGUAGAUAUCUGGAGGAACACCGGUGGCGAAGGCGGCGUCCUGGACCAACACUGACACUGAUGAGCGAAAGCCAGGGGAGCAAACGGG